GAGGACUGAAAGGAGUGGUUGCAUCAGGUCUCCCCCACCCUUCUGCCUCCUGCGGUUGCGGCUUUAUUGUGGCCUCUGCUCCCCUGACACCUGCAUUUCACUUAGCGGGAGAGGCGGUGGCCAACUCAGCACAGGCUGCGGACUCAGCGUGGUGACAGAUCCCUCAAGCUAGAAGACUUCUGUUAGGAGAAGCGUUAUCCUGUCAGUUGAUUACCCUGAGUUAUUAUUAUUGCUGUUUGACAGAUGAAAAACUGACAUGGAGAAAAGUUAGACAAUUCCUCCAAAUCACAAAGAUAGUAAGUUGAAAACUUGUGAAAAGAACUCUGCUAUGUCAUAUUUCAAAGUCUAUGACCUCCCCUAUAUGGUACCUUCACUGAUGCUAUUGAAUUUAAAGCAAAUAAAGGAAAUGAAGCACAGCCCAAGUGUUGAUUGGUGGGAAGAAUAAAACAGUCAGAGUAAAUCUCACAUUGAAUGAACCUCCAGUGUUGUGUUGUUAGUUAGAAUUAAAGUCAUUCUCUAGAGUGUAACUUAAGACAGUAUGUCAUUUAAGGGUCAAGAAAUAGUCUGUUUACUCAGCAUUUAUCAGUCCUUUCUUUCCAAACUUUAAGCUAGCUAUAGAAAAAUUCCAGAGAGCCUGGGGAAAGAAACAAAAGGAAAAUUAGGGAAAAGACUUACAAGGUAUGAAGUAUUAGAGAACAUUUUAAAAGGAUAAUCUAUACGCUAUGUCAUUGAUGGCUGCAGCCAUUCUCUAUGCCCAUAAACUAAAUGGGCCUAACUCUUAACAGUGGCUAUUAGGUUAGUUAGAAGAGGCAUGUUUCUGAAAAUUCCAUAGUGAACUUCAUAGCCAGAGGAAAAUAUCUUAUACUUCUUUCUAUUCAAUCAUCCUUGACUCCGAAAGUGCCUCUUAUUUUCUUUUGGUGGAACAGUGGAAAAAAAAUAUCACACUGGAAGGCCAAUUGACUGAAAUCAAGUCCCUUUUCCUAACUGUGUGAACUGGGUCCUUCACAUCACUAUCCUUCAACAACAAGAAAAACAAAAAACAUCCUAUAAAUGUAUAAAGAAGAAAAUGAAAGUUCUUUCUUUGCUACCCCUAGUUCUCUUCCCCUUCCUAGAGGCUAAACUAUUUUGUGUGCAUGUGUGUGUGUGUGUAGAAUGUACACAUAUAUGUAGGGGAUUGGUUCUAGGACUCUGUCCCCUGUGAAUACCAAAAUUCAGGGACGCCUAAGUUCCUUAUAUAAAAUGAUGCUUAUAACCUACGCACAUCCUCCUGUAUACUUUAAAUAAUCUUGAUUACUUAUAAUAUCUAAAACAGUGUAAAUGCUAUGUAAAUAGUUGUUAUACUGUAUUGUUUAGGAAAUAAUGACAAGAAAAAAGUCUGCACAUGGUCAGAACAGAUUCAACCAUUCUUUUUUUAUAUAUUUUUUUCUGAAUAAUUACAAUCCAUGGUUUGUUGAAUCCACAGAUGCAGAACUGGUGGAUAUGGAGGGCUGACUGUAUACAUGUAUCUUCCCCAUAUAAAUAGAACAAUAUUUUAUAUACUGUUCUUCAAAUGGCAUUUUCCCUUUGAAGCUCUUUUCAAAUAUGUAAAAAUCUAUUUUUAAAAACUGCUGCACAGUAGCUCAUAGAAUGAAUCUACCAUAUUUCCUUUACUCUUUCCCCUCUUGGUGGUCCUUUAGGUGGUGUUUGGUUUUUUUCUAUUAUAAAUAGUGUGCAAUGACCAUGCUUGUAAGUGCUUCUAUACUCAUAUAUGUUUCUCUGAGCACAGAUGCCUAGAUCUAGAAGCCAAACAGAUGGGUUGAAGGUGAUACCUAAUUUUAACAUUUGAUGACUCCUGCCAAAUUACCCUCUGAAAAGAAUUUAACAAUUUAUAUUCCUUCCACAUCAUUGCCUCUUUCCCCACAUCAUAAUGUAAGUCUUCUUAUUUUUUACUCACCAAAGGGAGAGAAAUAUUUACUGUUUAAAACUGAGCACCUUUUAAACUGCUUUUCUUUCUUUAUUGGCUUAACUCUUCAAGAUGUGUCUUUUUUCUGAUUGGACUAUUGUUUUUAUCUUUACUGGCUUUUAGAAGCUCUUUAUAUAAUCUGGAUAAUAAGCUUUCGUCAUCAAUAUAUGUUGCAGAUAUUUCCUCUCAGUGUGUCAUCAGAUUUUGUAUUUAUGUCUAUUUAUUAUGUCUGUGACCAUACAAAUUAUUAAAUUUCUUAUAAGGUUAGGCUAAGCUUCUUUCUUUAUGAGUUAAUGGGGGUUGUCUGUCUUAGAAAGGAUCUCUCAUUCCAAACCUUAAAACUAUUCUCCUAAUAAUUUUAGAUUUGUUCAACUGAGAGAGUGCUUAACUCAGGAGAUCAAUAAAGGUUCAUAGAGGAAGAAGUAUUUGAAAUUGUCCUGGAAGAACAAUAUUUUUCAACAGGCAGAGAUGGAGAAAGGACAAUCUACAUGAACAGAACAGCAUGAGCAAAAAGAACUGGUUAGAGACUAUCCAUAGGAUAAAUUUCUAGCAAAUUGCUGAGUCCAGGAUAUGCAUGUUUGCAAUUUUGGAAGAUCUUAAAAACUUGCCUCCUAUAGGUGUUGUACCAGUAUAUACUUCUGCCAGUAAUAGAUGGGUGGGCUGCUGAUGCCUCAAAAUGUAAGUAUUUUCAAACUUUUAAAUUUUAGCCCAUUUAACAUAAUUUAAAAAUUAUGUCUCUGUGUGAUUUUAGUUCCAUUUCCCUUAUUAUAUAUAAGACUGAACAUCUUGGCAUAUGUUUAAGGGCCAUCUGCAUUUCCUUUUCUGUGCACUGUCAGCUUAUAUGCUUUGCCCAUUUUUUCUAGUAGAUGGUUAGUGUUUUUCUUAUUGAUUUGUAUAUAUUCUGUAUUACUCCUUUAUCACAUUGCCACAAAGAAAUGCCUGAGAUGGUGUCAUUUAUAGAGAAAAGAGGUUUAAUUGGCUCACAGUUCCACAGGCUAUACAGGAAGCAUGGCUGAGGAGGCCUCAGGAAACUUAACAAUCAUGGCAGAAGGUGAAGGGGAAGCAGGCACAUCUACACAUGGCCAGAGCAGGAGGAAGAGAGAGAAGGAAGAGGUGCUACACCCUUUUAAGCAACCAGAUCUUGUGAGAUCUCACUAUCGUGAGAAUAGCAAGGAGGAAAUCUGCCCCCAUGAUUCAGUCACCUCCUGCCAGACCCCUCCUCCAACAUUAGGGAUUACAAUUCGACACGAGAUUGCCGGUGGGACACAAAUCCAAACCAUAUCAUAUUCUUUAUACAUUUGGGAAAUUAACUUUUUUCUGUAAUAUGAUUUACAAAUAUUUUUCUCAGAUUGGCAUUUGUUUUUUGACUUUUCAUAUUGUGCAUUUUGCCAUGGGAAGUUUUUUUUGUCAUUAAAUUUACCUAUUCUUUCAUUCAUAUGGCUUCUGGGUCCUAUAUUAUACUUAGACCUUUACCAUUCUGAAAUUAUGUAAGAAAAAUUCUCUCAGGGUUUUUUCCUAGUAAUUUUAAGACUUUACUUUUAAUAUUUUGGAUUUAUCCAGAUGUAGACUAUAAGAUAAGGAUCCACAUUUUUUCCCCAGCUCUACAUUUUGCUGCUAGAAGAUUUUACAAAAUUUUGCAAUUACUUAGUAACUUACAUUUCUUCCCAAUUGAUUUUGAAAUCUGUAAGAGCAGAAACUUUGAUUUCAUAUUUUUAUUCUCUCACAUGCCUGCCCUUUAAUGCACUUCAACCCCAGCCCCAAGUUUUGCCUAGUACUUGGCAGUUAGGUAGUUGUUACUUCUGCAUCUCUUGACUGCUGGGGAGGAAAGAUUCCACCUGAGUUAAGGCAAGUCCUACCCAGGAUGUGGCUGCAAAUGAGACUGCAAAGUUCUCGACCGAUGUCUUUUCAUUAAACUCUGGCUUUUACCAAGUACAAGUACCAAGUGAGUCAUACCGACACAUGUAGAGGAUGGCAUCCUGAGGGGAAAAGAAUUAUAGUGGAAAUAACCAAGGCUGCUUGGAGAAAAGCUUCUCAGCUGGCACUGCAGAACAGCAGCCACUGCCACAGCAAACAGCAAAACAAUAACAAGCUUACUUGCAGAAGGUGGGAAGCUGCAGACGUAAAUGCAGGCUCCCUUCCCAGGCUACCAGCAGUCCCUGGGGAUGAAGUAGUCUAAAUGGGCAGCAGUUGUGGAGUCCUCCCCGCUCACAGGAAUGGAAGAUGUCACUCACUAGCAGAAGUGCUCUGGGGUGGCAAUGAGGAGUACUGUCUUUGGACUCUGACAGGAACAUCUGGAUGGCACCAGGCUCAGGGAGACGGGUCUUGUGUGUCCUGCUAAGCACUAACAGCAAUAAUUGAGCAGCAGCAAUCUGCCUCACAUCAUUCUAGGCCCUAGGAGGGCACAAAGUUGGUUCUUGGCUCAGGUUAUCAGGAAAGUAACGUAUGUGCGUACAAAUAAAGUGUCCAACAGCAGAAAGGGAUGCCCUGAACAGUCCAGGUUGCACAAAGGAGUAUGGACAAACAAGUAGUUUCAUCCAGCUGGGAGCACUAGGAAAGCUCAGAAGGAGGAUGCCUCCAGGAGCCAGUGAGUGUAUUCUGUCACCAGGUGCCUUGGAGAGUGGAGGAUCUGGAGGGCACUUUUUGAGGCUGAUAGGAAGAAAGCAGACGGGUGGAGUGGUAGAUGGAAUGACGCCCUCACCCUCUGCAAUGUUCACAUUCUAAUCCCUGAGAUAUGUGAAUAUGUUACUCUAGCUGACAAAAGGGACUUUGCAGAUGUGAUUAAGGAUUUUGAGCUGGGGAGGUGACUCUGAAUUACAUGAAUGGGCCCAGUAUAAUCACAAGGGUCCUUAUAAUAGGGAGACUGGAGUGUCAGAGUCACAGAUGAGCUGUGAUGAUGGACGCAGUGGUGAGAGAGAGAUGUGAAGAUGGAAGGAGAGGGCCAUGGGCCAAGGAAUGUGGGUGGUCUCUAAAAGCUGGAAAAGGCAAGAAAAUGGAUCCUCCCCUAGAGACUCCAGCAGGAACAAAACCCUGCUGACACCUUGACUGUAGGACUUCCAACCUCCAGAACUAUAAAAUAAUAAAUUCAUGUUGUUUUAAACCACUAA
rnacentral:lncRNA from 1 species